AUAGGUACCUACUGAAGAGGCUGCGUGAAGGUGAAAGCCUAGAACACGCGCUUGUUGUGCGACGUCGCUUAAAGUGUCGCGAGAUGGUGACCGUGAGGUUAUAUACCAUGCUCCCGGUGGAGGUUGAAAGAUCCCAAGACCUGUGGUCUACAAACUUGAGAUCCCGGAAAGUCGGUGUUAUUUCUACUCUGAAAGCUGGCAGGCUUAUAACCCAAGAAGCACUAGUGUUUUAGUUUGAGUCUCAAAGCAGGAAGAGCCCUGUGUUCAGCUCAAGCAGACACAGACUGCCGCAUACUCGGGGAAGAGAAGCACACUGUGCCACUCGCUGCGCAGCUCUCUGAAGCUCAGUGGAGAACUAGUGAUGACUGACUGAAGCAGUAAGGUGGGGAGGACAGCAGAAGGAAAACUCUGGAUCCUGGGAAGGGGGUUGCUCUCUCUUGUCUCCAAGCAGCAGGGGUCUGACAAACCGGAAGGAGUCCCAGAGGCCCCUCAGCAUCCAGCCCUCCCAGGGAAAUGACUAGUAACAGCAGACUGUUCUGGGCUCAUGCCUCACCCAUCUUCCCAUUCUCUCUCCAGCUCCCUCCACUGACAUUCAACAUGUGGGCCACCCUUCUGAGAGGCCACCUGGCAAUCACUGCCCAAGCUUGGGCUUUGGGAACAAUUAGAUCUUAUUUUAAAUGUAGACUCUGCCAGUGACUGUAUGAUGCUGGCCAUGUUCCCUAACAUCUCCAGACUUCAGCUUCCAGUAUUACUAAUGUCACUCUUCCAACUUGAUUAAAAAGUGUUAA